CUACGGGAGGCAGCAGUGAGGAAUAUUGGGCAAUGGGGGAAACCCUGACCCAGCAAUGCCGCGUGCGGGAAGACGCCUUUCGGGGUGUAAGCCGCUUUUCUGCAUGAAGAGGAAGGACGGUAGUGCAGGAUUAAGUCACGGCUAACUACGUGCCAGCAGCCGCGGUAAUACGUAGGUGGCGAACGUUAUCCGGAAUCACUGGGCGUAAAGGGUCCGCAGGUGGCAUGUCAAGUCGAUUGUGAAAGCUCCCGGCUCAACUGGGAGAGGACGGUCGAAACUGGCAAACUAGAGUCCGACAGAGGGCGGCGGAAUUCCCGGUGUAGUGGUGGAAUGCGUAGAUAUCGGGAGGAACGCCAAGAGCGAAAGCAACCGGCUGGGUCGAGACUGACACUGAGGCACGAAGGCUAGGGUAGCGAACGGGAUUAGAUACCCCAGUAGUCC
rnacentral:rRNA from 1 species